rnacentral:rRNA from 1 species
UGGGGAAUAUUGGACAAUGGGGGAAACCCUGAUCCAGCAAUGCCGCGUGAGUGAAGAAGGCCUUAGGGUUGUAAAGCUCUUUCGCCCGCGAAGAUAAUGACGGUAGCGGGAGAAGAAGCCCCGGCUAACUCCGUGCCAGCAGCCGCGGUAAUACGGAGGGGGCUAGCGUUGUUCGGAAUUACUGGGCGUAAAGCGUACGUAGGCGGAUGCGCAAGUUGGGGGUGAAAUCCCGGGGCUUAACCUCGGAAUUGCCCUCAAAACUGCACGUCUUGAGACCGAGAGAGGUAAGGGGGAUUCCUAGUGUAGAGGUGAAAUUCGUAGAUAUUAGGAAGAACACCAGUGGCGAAGGCGCCUUACUGGCUCGGUACUGACGCUGAGGUACGAAAGCGUGGGGAGCAAACA